AGGAGCAACCAUAUCAGCACUGAUGCACAGGAUUCCAUCCGAACUCCGAAGUUAAGCGUGCUUGAGCAAGAAUAGUUCUAAGAUGGACCUGUCUUAUGACUU
rfam:Cephalotus follicularis DNA, scaffold: scaffold4805, isolate: St1.